rnacentral:rRNA from 1 species
GAACGCUGGCGGCGUGCCUAAUACAUGCAAGUCGAGCGGACUGAUUAAGAGCUUGCUCUUAUGAGGUUAGCGGCGGACGGGUGAGUAACACGUGGGCAACCUGCCCUGUAGACUGGGAUAACAUCGAGAAAUCGGUGCUAAUACCGGAUAAUUGUUGGAACUGCAUAGUUCUAACUUAAAAGAUGGCUCCGGCUAUCACUAUAGGAUGGGCCCGCGGCGCAUUAGCUAGUUGGUAAGGUAAUGGCUUACCAAGGCGACGAUGCGUAGCCGACCUGAGAGGGUGAUCGGCCACACUGGGACUGAGACACGGCCCAGACUCCUACGGGAGGCAGCAGUAGGGAAUCUUCCGCAAUGGACGAAAGUCUGACGGAGCAACGCCGCGUGAGUGAUGAAGGUUUUCGGAUCGUAAAGCUCUGUUGUUAGGGAAGAACAAGUGCCGUUCGAAUAGGGCGGCACCUUGACGGUACCUAACCAGAAAGCCACGGCUAACUACGUG